rnacentral:rRNA from 1 species
UACAUGUGGGGCAAGCGUUGUUCGGAAUUACUGGGCAUAAAGGGUGCGUAGGUGGUUUGUUAAGUCAGGGGUGAAAUCCCGCGGCCCAACCGUGGAACUGCCUUUGAUACUGGCGAACUUGAGUGCGUGAGGGGUAGGGGGAACGAGCAGUGUAGCGGUGAAAUGCGUAGAUAUUGCUCGGAAGGCCAGAGCCGAAGGGGCCCUACUGAUGCGUAACUGACGACUGAGGCACGAAAGCGUGGGGAGCAAACAGG